rnacentral:rRNA from 1 species
CGGCNAAAGCUCAAAUUUGAAAUCUCCCCGGGGAGUUGUAAUUUGAAGAUUGCGUCUUGGAGGCGACCGUGUCUAUGUUCCUUGGAACAGGACGUCACAGAGGGUGAGAAUCCCGUGCGGCACGGCCCCCGGCUCCUUAUAAGGCGCUCUCGACGAGUCGAGUUGUUUGGGAAUGCAGCUCAAAGUGGGUGGUAAAUUCCAUCUAAAGCUAAAUACAGGCGAGAGACCGAUAGCGAACAAGUACAGUGAUGGAAAGAUGAAAAGCACUUUGAAAAGAGAGUGAAACAGCACGUGAAAUUGUUGAAAGGGAAGGGCAUGCCGUCAGAUUGUCAGUGUGGGUAAGAAGCGGGGUACAAAGACUGUGGAACGUGGCCCUCGGGUGUUAUAGCCGCAGUUCAUGCCCCGUCUCUUUCCGAGGCCUGCUUUGAGGACACCGACGUAAUGACGGUACGCCGC